UAUGUGAUCGUCUCUCGCAUAUCAAUAAGCGGAGGAAAAGAAACUAACAAGGAUUCCCCUAGUAACGGCGAGUGAAGCGGGAAGAGCUCAAAUUUGAAAUCUUAAAGGGUUUCCCUUUACGAAUUGUAGUUUAAAGAAGUGUUUUCUGUUGAGGUUUUGGUAAAAGUUCUUUGGAAUAGGACAUCAUAGAGGGUGAGAAUCCCGUAUUUGACCUUUACUUUCAACUUUGUGAUACACUUUCAAAGAGUCGGAUUGUUUGGGAAUGCAGUCCAAAAUGGGUGGUAAAUUUCAUCUAAAGCUAAAUAUUGGCGAGAGACCGAUAGCGAACAAGUACCGUGAGGGAAAGAUGAAAAGAACUUUGAAAAGAGAGUUAAACAGUACGUGAAAUUGUCAAAAGGGAAGCGUUUGACACCAGUGUUGUUUUUCUGAAAAUCAAUUAAAGAACUGUUUAUGCUAAGCUGUUUAGACUUUAUCAGCUAACUGUUUAGUUUUGAGCUUUUCUUUAAUGCACUUUUCAGUUAACAAGUCGACAUCAAUUUCUUUUGCUGUAAAAAAGCUUGAGGAAGGUGGCUUGAGAUUCGUCUUAAGUGUUUAUAGCCUCUUGCCUAUGCAGUCGGAGAGAUUGAGGUCUGCAGCGUAGACCCUUCGGGGCUAAAUGCAUUUGUGCUAAGUUAUAGCAUUUUAUAGACAACUUGUUGACUAUGAUUUGUCUUGUAGCUUACUCGCUUAUGUUAUUUUACCUACGCUUAGGAUGUUGAAUCUGUGCGAGACUA
rnacentral:rRNA from 1 species